rnacentral:tRNA from 1 species
GUUUCGUUGGUGCAGUGGUAGCAUGCCCUCUUAGGGUCCAAUGCCUAGGUAAUGGAACUCUGGGGGUGGUCCUCGGUUCAAUCCCGGGACGAGACC